rnacentral:rRNA from 1 species
AUAUCAGUCAUGCAUAGCAUAUCAAUAAGCGGAGGAAAAGAAACUAACAAGGAUUCCCUUAGUAACGGCGAGUGAAGCGGGAAGAGCUCAAAUUUGAAAUCUUCAAGGUUUUACCUUGACGAAUUGUAGUUUAAAGAAGUGUUUUCUGUUGAAGUUUUGGCAAAAGUUCUUUGGAAUAGGACAUCAUAGAGGGUGAGAAUCCCGUAUUUGACCAUUACUUUCAGCUUUGUGAUACACUUUCAAAGAGUCGGAUUGUUUGGGAAUGCAGUCCAAAAUGGGUGGUAAAUUUCAUCUAAAGCUAAAUAUUGGCGAGAGACCGAUAGCGAACAAGUACCGUGAGGGAAAGAUGAAAAGAACUUUGAAAAGAGAGUUAAACAGUACGUGAAAUUGUCAAAAGGGAAGCGUUUGACACCAGUGUUGUUUUCUCGAAAAUCAAUUAAAAAGAGUUGGAUUUUGUGUUGUAUUGACUUUAUCAGCUUUCUUCACUCUUUUCCAGUUUUUUUUAAUGCACUUUUCGUUUAACAAGUCAACAUCAGUUUCCUUUGUUGUAAAAAGGUCAUUGGAAGGUGGCUUUCUCUUCGGAGAAAGUGUUUAUAGCCUUUGACUCAUGCAAUCGGAGAGACUGAGGUCUGCAGCGUAGAUCCUUCGGGGUUAGAUACAUUUGUGCUAAGUUAUAGCUUUUCAUAGACAACUUGUUGACUAUGUUUAGUCUUGUAGCUUACUCGCUUAUGCUAUUUUACCUACGCUUAGGAUGUUGAACUCUAUCACACACAG